ensembl:lncRNA LINC01478 long intergenic non-protein coding RNA 1478
AUGGUGAGCCACGUGAAUGGAAGACAUGGAGAUAUGGACUGUUAACACCUUGUCAAACAUUUAUUGUCCCUUCCACCUCUAAACUUCUGUGAUAAUAGGUGAACAGGACCCACGUGGUGCAGAAUACUGCGAUACACACUGCGGAAUAAUUCAGUGCAGAACAACACGUGGAUUGCUCAGUACAACUUGUUCAUCACAUCCUCCUGUUCACUGAAGAAUUAUGGAAAUAUUCUCUGAGCUGCUUUCCUCCCUGCCCAACGAGUCAUCUCUGUGUGAAAGGCCAAGCUUAUAAAUCCUGAAGAAAGAGACAUUAUACAAAUGCAAGCUGUUGUCACAACAAUGAUAAGAAAUCAGGAGUCGAAAGAUGUGGAGUAAGGGGGAAUUUCAGAGAAACCACAAAACACAAAAUAGGAAACAGAGACAGGAGAAGAUUGCUAUGACAAAAUUGCAGAAGGUGAAAUCUUUGGCAGCCUCUUAUUUCUCUGGAGAAUAUGAUAUUGUCAGGCUGAGGUGGAAGAAUCACAUGGUCAUACUCUCCAUCAAAACUUAUAAAAUCUUGGGAAGAGGAACUGUGGCCCAUCACUGAUCAUUUCAUCUAUUAAGUGACCACUUAUUGUCUUAUAAUAGGAGAUGUUCUGGAAACAUGCAUUGAAUCGAAGUGGCUUUGAGGAAGCAUGAAGAGAAAACAGGAUGGCAUCCUUUUGGCACCAUUUCUUAUGCUAUAAUAAGGAUUCCUUCUGUUUACACAUAAAACAGAAGAGUUUAAUCACCCCAGCAAUCUUUAACUUGGUAAUGAAGGCCAUAAAUUAAAUUUUAAGCAAAGUUAAAGAAGAUGAGAUGAAAUAUAAAACAAAAACAUCAUCAGAAUCUGCCCAGGAACAAUAUUCUUGACACCAAACCAUGACAUUAUGGGGCUCAGUUGUUUGUUUCUAGGGCAGCCCCUUGUUUUAUGUGCCAAAUAGCAUUUCCCUAAAUAAAACUGCAUGGAACAAAA